ensembl:lncRNA
UGAAGUUUUAUUUUUUAAGUCUGUGUUGUGCUUUGUCAUCUCCAAUGGCAACGCCUUGCAUCACAAUGAUGAUGUCAUAAAGGAUAUUGUGCACAUAAUGAUAGGAACAGCAGAAAUGUGAUUGAUUUGAACUUGGUCGCGUUUCCAGUAGCCAACUUUUUACUAGUAAUUCAGAUAGGCCUAUUGCGUAAUCAUCUCUGGAUCAGGAUUGUCACUUGCUUCAUUGUAAGUAAAUGGGAAGAAAAUGUGUGCACAUUGUAAAGAGAUGCAUUAUUCUUUGGUGAGCAACACGCCACUUACUACAACGUUAUGUAUUUUUCAGAGUUAUUGUUAGCUAGGAGGAAGACAUGGAGGGUUCAACGCUGACACAGAGGAGGGCUGAGUGUCAGUUGAAGGAAAGGGAGAUCCAGACAGACUACAUGAUGGAGCUGGGAGCCAGGUUGGCUCUGGUGAGACAGAUCCAGAGGGAGCAGGAGAAGGAGAUGAAGAGGAUUUGGUUUGAGACGAGGAAAAUGCCAAGCCUGAUUGAGGAGAAUGUGAGAGAUGUGACCAACCGUCCACUCGCUGAGUUCAUGGCUCCCUGUAUUGACUCCCUCCCCCCUCUGGCUUUCACCAAUCGGAGGCCUAUACCAACCAUGUUACAUCCCCCCUCUCCAUUGGCCAUACGCGCUCAGGAUGCACAGCGGUUCAUUGUAUUUUCAUACUUUGUCCCUGCUGAGUGCCCAGUUGCCACAGAGGCCACAGCAGAUGUAUCUACUGGUAAAAGAGAGGACUUAUUGACAGAUACACAUCUUCCCUCAAUGCUGCAUCGAUACCUGCCACACUUCUUCAACGAUGACUCCAUUCCACCACAGCAGACAGUAGAGGGAACCACUGAGCUCUCAGUUGCUCCAGUGGCAAUAUCUAAUAUAAAGGAAGAGGACAGAUUCUAUCCUUUCUCCCUCCCACCACUGGCUCAGCGGUUCGUUGGCAAUUCAUUCAUUGUCCCAGAAACCUCCCAGCCUGCUGUUUCAGCCACAGAGUGCCGAGUUGCCAAAGAGGCCACUGCAGACACAGCCACUGUCAAGAGAGAGAACCGAUGGGCAACCAGAAGUCUUCCUUCAGUGCUGCCUCCAUGCCUGCCACCAGUCUUUGACGAUGACUUCAAGCCUACAGAGCAGACUGUAGAGGAUGCCUAUGAGGUCUCAGGUGCUACAGAGAACACUUCAGGCACAGCUACUGUUGAUGGAGUGGACAGAUCAACAGCUAAAUGCCCUGUCCCAAUGCUGCCUCCAAGUCUGCCACCUGUCUUUGACAAUGACUACAAACUGCCAGAGGAGGCAGUAGAGGGAACCAACAAGUGUCCAGUCGCCAGUGAAUCUGCCGCUUCCGUGUCUGCUGUCCUCCAAGAGGAGUUUUCAGCUGAUAAGAGUCUUCCUGCACCCGCAGCACUGCCUCUAAGGCUGCCCUGCACCCACAGCAUUGACCACAAACAGCUAUGGGAGAAAGUUGAGGACAACGCAGAGUUCUCAGUAGACAAAGAAGCAACUGUUGCCAUUUACACUUGGGAAGAUAAAAGUCCUUCAGUUCUGCCAAGCAUCCACAACAACAACGACCACCAACUGCCAGAGGAGACAGCUGAGGACAACACAGAGUGCUCAGUUGACACCGAGGCAAGUGCAGUUGCAUCCACUGUUAAGAGAGAGGAACUGACUUGUGAUAAAAGCCCUGUCCGAGCAAUUCCUCCAAUCCUGGGAUGCAUCCAUGACAAGGACCACAAGGAGGAGGUGAGACAGAGGGAGGGAUUGAAGCGUGAGGCGGACUGUGCCCAUUCCAAGAGCUCCAAUGGGAUGGCUUCAUCAGAGAGAGCAGAGACCAUCCUUGGAAGAGUGGGCUUUCUGGUCAUGAACCACAUGCAGAAAAUCCCAUUUUUGAAGAUGAAGGAAAAAGAGAAAAAUAAGAAACUGCAUAAGAAGUUGAAAGAUGACGAGAAAGAGAGAAAGGAGAAGAAAAACAAGGAGGAGGAGAACAAAAAGAGGGAGAAGAAAGAGAUGAAUGAGAGAGAGAAAGAGCAGAAGAAAGUCAUGAAGGCUGAGAAAAAGAGGAAGAAGUUUGAACAUAAAAAGAGAGAGAAGGAAAGAAAAGAGAAGGAAAAGGCAGAGAAAAAGAGGUUAGAGGGGCUGAUGAAGAAACAGAAUGACAUGAUGAAAGACAGGAUUAAGAAAGAGAAGAAGUGUUCUGAGGAGCUGAAAAAGAGAGAGAAAGCUCAAGCUGAGUUCUUGGAGAUGGAGAGAAAGAUUCAAGAAAAGGAGGAGAAGAAGAGAGAAAAGAUGAAGAAAGAGGAGAGGAAGAGACUAGAGAAGAAGAAAAAGAGGGAGCCUGCUGGAGGUGGAACUGAGAGGGUGAUAGAAGAGCAGGGAAAGGAUGAAAGCUUGAAGAUGGAUGAGUAGACUGGGUAUUAGAGAGAGAGAGCAGGGAGGGAUACUGUAUUUUUGCAUGCAAUGAAAAAGGAAUUUAAAAAAUCAAUAAAAAGGUUUACUCUCUGUUUGAUUUUUGUCAAGGCAUACUGUAUAACACAGUUUAAACACACACUGUUGACAUUUAACAAAUCUGGGGAGUGUUGCACUGUUAAAAUGUUGAAUUCCAAAUAUACCCGAUGGAGUGGAGCUGUGCUGAGAUGAGGAGGACGGAAAGGGAGGGGGAGUGGAAGGAGGAUAGAGAUGAAUAUGAUAGAGAGGAAUAUAAUAGAGAGGAAUAUGAUAGAGAGGAAUAUGAUAGAGGGGAAUAUGAUAGAGGAAUAUGAUAUAGGGGAAUAUAAUAGUAGUGAAUAUGAUAGAGAGGAAUAUAAUAGAGAGGAAUAUGAUAGAGAGGAAUAUGAUAGAGAGGAAUAUGAUAGAGAGGAAUAUGAUAGAGAGGAAUAUGAUAGAGGGGAAUAUGAUAUAGAGGUAUAUGAUAGAGAGGUAUAUGAUGAAGGGAAAUAUGAUAAAGGGAAGAUGAUAGAGGGAAGAUGAUAUCUUCUCCCCUGUCUGUUGAGGGCGCCAAGCUCCCCAGCAUUGAUCGCUUCUGUCAUCAUCAUUACGCACACCUGCCUUCCCCCAUCUUGCGGGUCAGCGAUUAUUGUUCUCACCUGGACUCAAUCACCUCUGUCAUUACCUUUCACACUUCUGUAUCUGUCGGGUUCCCCUCUCUGUUCCCUGUUUCUGCAUUGAAAGUCAUCUGUCCUUGUUUACCAGUGUGCUGAAGCUGUUCCUGUCUUGUUCUAUGUCUGUUCACAAUUAAAUAUUUGACUCCCCGUACCUGCAUCUCAUCUCUGG